AUGUUCAGACUAGCCAUGCAUGUCUAAGUAUAAAUAACUACACAGUAAAACUGCGAAUGGCUCAUUAAAACAGUCAUACUUUAUUUGAUAUAACAAAUGGAUAACUGUAGAAAAACUAGAGCUAAUACAUGCCAUAACCGUAAGGUUGUAUUUAUUAGGUAUUCCUGGUAGGUGAUUCAUAAUAACUUAGCGAAUCGUGACUUGUUCACGAUAAAUCAUUCAAGUUUCUGCCCUAUCAUGCUUUCGAUGGUAGUGUAUUGGACUACCAUGGCUCUCACGGGUAACGGAGAAUUACGGUUCGAUUCCGGAUAACGAGCCUGAGAAACGGCUACUACCUCUAAGGAAGGCAGCAGGCGCGUAAAUUACCCAAUCCUGACUCAGGGAGGUAGUGACAAGAUAUAACAACGUGAAGUCAAAUUCGCGAUUGUAGUGAGGUUAUUCCAAACCGAAAUUCAAGUACGAUUGGAGGACAAGUCUUGGUGCCCGCACCCGCGGUAAUU
rnacentral:rRNA from 1 species